CCCUAAAAAACUAACGUCUCAGUUCAGAUUGCAGGCUGCAACUCGCCUGCAUGAAGUCGGAAUUGCUAGUAAUCGCAGAUCAGCAUGCUGCGGUGAAUACGUUCCCGGGCCUUGUACACACCGCCCGUCACACCAUGGGAGUCGGUAACACCCGAAGUCGGUAGCCUAACCGUAAGGAGGGCGCCGCCGAAGGUGGGAUUUGAUGACUGGGGGUGAAGUCGUAACAAGGUAAC
rnacentral:rRNA from 1 species